rnacentral:lncRNA from 1 species
AUAGGGGUAUUAAUCCUAUGUGAUUUAUGAGACAGAGUUUUGAAGACCUUGGCCAGGACUGAGUUAAUAGCGGAAAAGGGUUUCCGAUAUUGGAAACUCGAGUCGAAUAAAUUUAAUAUAUGACAGAUGAUGGGGUUUGACGAGUUAUUCCAUAACCUCCGUCUAGUCGGGACUCAUGAUAGAAGGAUUGUAUCACACGGUAACUGUACCAAGAGGUUCAGUAUUCCAUUCUACUGGAAUGCCACUACAUGCUGCUAGGCGUCACUGGUGGAUUGUGAGACUCAUGAGA